rnacentral:rRNA from 1 species
AUUGAACGCUGGCGGUAUGCUUAACACAUGCAAGUCGAACGGUAACAGGCCUUCGGGCGCUGACGAGUGGCGGACGGGUGAGUAACGCGUAGGAAUCUGCCUCAUAGUGGGGGACAACGUGGGGAAACUCACGCUAAUACCGCAUACGCCCUACGGGGGAAAGGACGGGGGAGUCUUCGGACCUCGCGCUAUGAGAUGGGCCGUGCGUUAGAUUAGCUAGUUGGUAGGGUAAAGGCUACCAAGGCGACGAUCUAUAGCUGGUCUGAGAGGACGAUCAGCCACACUGGGACUGAGACACGGCCCAGACU